AGGGUUUGAUCAUGGCUCAGAACGUACGCUGGCGGCACGCCUAACACAUGCAAGUCGAACGAAGUAGCAAUACUUAGUGGCAGACGGGUGAGUAACAUGUAGGUAUCUGCCCUUUGGCCUGGAAUAACACGAGGAAACUUGUGCUAAUACCGGAUAAGUCUUUACGGAGAAAGCUUUAUGCACCAUUGGAUGAGCCUGCACUUGAUUAGUUUGUUGGUAGGGUAAUGGCCUACCAAGACUUUGAUCAAUAGCUGAUUUGAGAGGAUGAUCAGCCACAUUGGGACUGAGACACGGCCCAAACUCCUACGGGAGGCAGCAGUGGGGAAUCUUGCACAAUGGAGGAAACUCUGAUGCAGCGAUGCCGCGUGAGUGAAGAAGGCCUUUGGGUUGUAAAGCUCUUUCGUCGGGGAAGAAAAUGACUGUACCCGAAUAAGAAGGUCCGGCUAACUUCGUGCCAGCAGCCGCGGUAAUACGAAGGGACCUAGCGUAGUUCGGAAUUACUGGGCUUAAAGAGUUCGUAGGUGGUUGAAAAAGUUGGUGGUGAAAUCCCAGAGCUUAACUCUGGAACUGCCAUCAAAACUUUUCAGCUAGAGUUUGAUAGAGGAAAGCAGAAUUUCUAGUGUAGAGGUGAAAUUCGUAGAUAUUAGAAAGAAUACCAAUUGCGAAGGCAGCUUUCUGGAUCAUUACUGACACUGAGGAACGAAAGCAUGGGUAGCGAAGAGGAUUAGAUACCCUCGUAGUCCAUGCCGUAAACGAUGUGUGUUAGACGUUGGAAAUUUUAUUUUCAGUGUCGCAGCGAAAGCGAUAAACACACCGCCUGGGGAGUACGACCGCAAGGUUAAAACUCAAUGAAUUGACGGGGACCCGCACAAGUAGUGGAGCAUGUGGUUUAAUUCGAAGAUACGCGCAGAACCUUACCAACACUUGACAUGUUCGUCGCGACUUUAAGAGAUUAAAGUUUUCGGUUCGGCCGGACGAAACACAGGUGCUGCAUGGCUGUCGUCAGCUCGUGUCGUGAGAUGUUGGGUUAAGUCCCGCAACGAGCGCAACCCUCACUUUUAGUUGCCAUCAUUAAGUUGGGCACUCUGAAAGAACUGCCAGUGAUAAGCUGGAGGAAGGUGGGGAUGACGUCAAGUCCUCAUGGCCCUUACGUGUUGGGCUACACACGUGCUACAAUGGUAACUACAACAGGAAGCAAGACAGCGAUGUUAAGCAAAUCCUUAAAAGUUACCUCAGUUCGGAUUGCACUCUGCAACUCGAGUGCAUGAAGCUGGAAUUACUAGUAAUCGUGGAUCAGCGUGCCACGGUGAAUGCGUUCCCGGGUCUUGUACACACCGCCCGUCACACCAUGGGAGUUGGUUCUACCUUAAGGCAAGGUUUAAAACCCUUGACCACGGUAUAGUCAGCGACUGGGGUGAAGUCGUAACAAGGUAACCGUA
rnacentral:rRNA from 1 species